AUUGAACGCUGGCGGCAGGCCUAACACAUGCAAGUCGAGCGAGUGGCGGACGGGUGAGUAAUGUCUGGGAAACUGCCUGAUGGAGGGGGAUAACUACUGGAAACGGUAGCUAAUACCGCAUACCAUCGGAUGUGCCCAGAUGGGAUUAGUUGGUGGGUGGGGUAACGGCUCACCAAGGCGACGAUCCCUAGCUGGUCUGAGAGGAUGACCAGCCACACUGGAACUGGGACACGGUCCAAACGCCUACGGGAGGCAGCAGUGGGGAAUAUGGCACAAUGGGCGCAAGCCUGAUGCAGCCAUGCCGCGUGUGUGAAGAAGGCCUUCGGGUUGUAAAGCACUUUCAGCGGGGAGGCGUUACCCGCAGAAGAAGCACCGGCUAACUCCGUGCCAGCAGCCGCGGUAAUAC
rnacentral:rRNA from 1 species